CGAAAGGAGUAAAUAACUAAAAUAUUUUUAUAUA
rnacentral:rRNA from 1 species